rnacentral:lncRNA from 1 species
UGCUAAUUGAAAAAGUGCACCUGAGGAAUUUCACCUGUUUUUCCUCAGUACCUUUACCUAGUUUAGGUGAUAAGAUCCAGGACUUUAAAUCCCAACCUGACGCCACAGCGGGAUGAGACUUGGAGGUCUUUGAAGGGCUGCCACGAAGUCCAGCUAGAGGAAUCCCAAGUAUGGUUUAAAUCCUCCACUUGAUUCCCAGCAUCAACCCUCAGCCAUGGAGGAGCUACCAUUGCCAACCUUGACUAAGUCCAGUCAAGUUUUGGAUAGCCAUGGUACCAUCUGACAUAGGAGACAUCAAAUGAGGACCAUCUAUCUGUUGCCAACUACCCAAGGACCAUGAAAGGAUUAAAGGCAUUUCUUUGGAAUUGACAUAUUAUUCAUGAGAUCUUUGUAUGCAAAAGAGGUGAUUAACCACUGAGAAAACAACAAACAACUCUGUGGAUACAUGGAAGGCUGUGGAGGUGAGGACCUAGAAUGGAGAAAGCAAGAAACACCUGGAGCUCUGCUGCUGAAGUGA